rnacentral:rRNA from 1 species
CAGGCUUAACACAUGCAAGUCGAGGGGCAUCAGGAAGAAAGCUUGCUUUCUUUGCUGGCGACCGGCGCACGGGUGAGUAACACGUAUCCAACCUGCCCUUUACUCGGGGAUAGCCUUUCGAAAGAAAGAUUAAUACCCGAUGGCAUAAUGAUUCCGCAUGGUUUCAUUAUUAAAGGAUUCCGGUAAAGGAUGGGGAUGCGUUCCAUUAGGUUGUUGGUGAGGUAACGGCUCACCAAGCCUUCGAUGGAUAGGGGUUCUGAGAGGAAGGUCCCCCACAUUGGAACUGAGACACGGUCCAAACUCCUACGGGAGGCAGCAGUGAGGAAUAUUGGUCAAUGGGCGCUAGCCUGAACCAGCCAAGUAGCGUGAAGGAUGAAGGCUCUAUGGGUCGUAAACUUCUUUUAUAUAAGAAUAAAGUGCAGUAUGUAUACUGUUUUGUAUGUAUUAUAUGAAUAAGGAUCGGCUAACUCCGUGCCAGCAGCCGCGGUAAUACGGAGGAUCCGAGCGUUAUCCGGAUUUAUUGGGUUUAAAGGGAGCGUAGGUGGACUGGUAAGUCAGUUGUGAAAGUUUGCGGCUCAACCGUAAAAUUGCAGUUGAUACUGUCAGUCUUGAGUACAGUAGAGGUGGGCGGAAUUCGUGGUGUAGCGGUGAAAUGCUUAGAUAUCACGAAGAACUCCGAUUGCGAAGGCAGCUCACUGGACUGCAACUGACACUGAUGCUCGAAAGUGUGGGUAUCAAACAGGAUUAGAUACCCUGGUAGUCCACACAGUAAACGAUGAAUACUCGCUGUUUGCGAUAUACAGUAAGCGGCCAAGCGAAAGCAUUAAGUAUUCCACCUGGGGAGUACGCCGGCAACGGUGAAACUCAAAGGAAUUGACGGGGGCCCGCACAAGCGGAGGAACAUGUGGUUUAAUUCGAUGAUACGCGAGGAACCUUACCCGGGCUUAAAUUGCAGUGGAAUGAUGUGGAAACAUGUCAGUGAGCAAUCACCGCUGUGAAGGUGCUGCAUGGUUGUCGUCAGCUCGUGCCGUGAGGUGUCGGCUUAAGUGCCAUAACGAGCGCAACCCUUAUCUUUAGUUACUAACAGGUUAUGCUGAGGACUCUAGAGAGACUGCCGUCGUAAGAUGUGAGGAAGGUGGGGAUGACGUCAAAUCAGCACGGCCCUUACGUCCGGGGCUACACACGUGUUACAAUGGGGGGUACAGAAGGCAGCUAGCGGGUGACCGUAUGCUAAUCCCAAAAGCCUCUCUCAGUUCGGAUCGAAGUCUGCAACCCGACUUCGUGAAGCUGGAUUCGCUAGUAAUCGCGCAUCAGCCACGGCGCGGUGAAUACGUUCCCGGGCCUUGUACACACCGCCCGUCAAGCCAUGGGAGCCGGGGGUACCUGAAGUACGUAACCGCAAGGAUCGUCCUAGGGUAAAACUGGUGACUGGGGC